GAUGAACGCUGGCGGCGUGCCUAAUACAUGCAAGUCGAGCGAACAGACGAGGAGCUUGCUCCUCUGACGUUUGCGGCGGACGGGUGAGUAACACGUGGAUAACCUACCUAUAAGACUGGGAUAACUUCGGGAAACCGGAGCUAAUACCGGAUAAUAUAUUGAACCGCAUGGUUCAAUAGUGAAAGACGGUUUUGCUGUCACUUAUAGAUGGAUCCGCGCCGCAUUAGCUAGUUGGUAAGGUAACGGCUUAACAAGGCAACGAUGCGUAGCCGACCUGAGAGGGUGAUCGGCCACACUGGAACUGAGACACGGUCCAGACUCCUACGGGAGGCAGCAGUAGGGAAUCUUCCGCAAUGGGCGAAAGCCUGACGGAGCAACGCCGCGUGAGUGAUGAAGGUCUUCGGAUCGUAAAACUCUGUUAUUAGGGAAGAACAAAUGUGUAAGUAACUAUGCACGUCUUGACGGUACCUAAUCAGAAAGCCACGGCUAACUACGUG
rnacentral:rRNA from 1 species